CGAGGCAAAAAAAAAAAAAACGACGCACACGCACGCUCCACCUAGACGCGACGCGACCCUAAGCUAGCGCGGCGGCGCCUGGCCAGGUCGCGAGGACCAGGCGAGCGAUCGACGACGGCGGCAGCAGGCUGGGGCUUAGAGGGCUGCGGCAGCAAGCUCCAACGGCGGCUCCAGCGAAAGCAGCAAGCUCCAGCGGGCGACGACAGUUGGGUAUUUUCCUGGUAAUUACCCAGGGUCCGAACCAGAGGACUAAUUGCAGCCACUUUGUUAGUUGUGUCCAGAUUACUAGAAGAUGGAUAGAAAGGGGAAUGGAUUAGCAAAUCCAAAGAAAAGGGAAAGAGGUAAUUUCUGAAAUUUUGUAGUAAUUUCUCAUUGAGUUGGCUAUGCUUUCUACCGGUAGCGACGGCAACAAUUGAAAGGGCCUUCUCAUCAAUGAAAAUCAUCAAGACUGAGUUGCGCAGCAAGAUGACCGAUGGUUGGCUUAAUGGCUUGAGGUUUGUUAUAUUGAGCGAGAGAUCUUCAAAAGUAUUGGUCUUGGUAAAAUUAAGAAAGAUUUUCAGAAAUGAGGGUAGGGCAUUGCCAUUGCCUGGGUCAUUGAGCCGCCAUUGAAAGCUUUAUUAUCGUUAUGUUUUAAGUUGUUUUCCUAUUGAAACAUGCCUACAUUUUUAUUGUAUUUAGUUUUUCGGUUGUAAUCUGUAUUGACUCUUUCGAUUUGCAUCAAAAGAAUUCUUUCCUUAAGACUUCGCCACACCUUAAAUUUUUUUCGUCCUCCGCCUCUGAGGCCAGACAUACAUUGCCUCUAAUUUCUUCUGAUCCAAAUCUGAUGCACAAAAGCUAAAAAAAAGGGCAUUGACAAAAAGAAUCAAAGAUGCCACCAGAAGAGUACACUUGGUAACUUCAAAAAAAAAAAAAAAGAAGAAGAGUACACUUGGUUUAACUAUCACAUUCACAUGGCAGCAAAUUCAACGUAAGCAUUUUUGCGAUUUUGUACUGGAUCGUUACAUUACUUGACCCACGACACGAUUCAUUCAAGAAUUGUGGGAACUUGCGCGGAUGGUAAGUUAACGAGUCACUGACUCAAAGUGGUAGAGAUCGUAACACGAUGCUAUGCUCCUAGACAUAGUUCAAGCUGAACUGUAAGCAAAUGAACCUUAUAUGCGUUCUGGCGCCAUCCUUCUAUACCCUUUGUGAAAUGGAGCCGUAGACCUUUCUGUGAUGUGGUACCCUACUGGUUCCGCCUUAGCUAUCUAUCUAUGGUGUAGUGCAGGUGAGCUUGAUCACUCUGCAGUUUCGGUGAUGAGCUCCUUGAGUACCUGUUUUAGGCCACUCAUCUUCUUCCGGGCUCUCUGCGAACCAUUUCCGUGGAAAAGGUUAGCAUUUGAUCAAUACUGGCAUCCCUGGGGUUUAGGAAUGAUGUUUGACUUACCUUCUGAACCUCCGAGAUUUUGGUUUCGGCGUCCUUGAGCUGAGAAUCAACUGUUCUCUCGGCAUGUUGGAGGAGCUUCUUGUGUGAUGCUCCUGUUGAUGCAAUCAUAAAACAACACCAUGGUUAAGUGGUAAUCCUGGUGGCAAACGGUUAGAAAAACAGAGCAUUUAAACAGAUUUCUUCAAGUGGCUGUAUGGUUAUAUAUUCCAUUUGCCUCUUAAAAAUGAUAACAGUGAGCUAAAACUAUAAUUACUUCACUGCUGACUAUUUCUUCUAAUCAUGUGCCAAUGUAGAUUGGACGAUCAUUCUUUUUCAAUUAAAAACCAUCUGAUUUAACCACAUUAUUCAGCAACAAACGUCAAACCUUACAAUGUUGGAAUCUUAUGUGCCUGGGUCAGAUGACAUAAAGUUUGCAAUCUGUAAUCAAACUGCUCCAAUGGUGAUACUUCAUAAGGCUCCGUUUUGACAAAGGUUAACAUGAUUCCACAUUUUUGGGAGUUCAUGCAGUAUCAGUUUGCAAUAAAUAGUCCAGCAAGUAAAAUAUUGCAUUUGCAUUUUGCAAGUGUAUGGUUUCAAGUUAAACUUACUUUGCUUGUCAGCUGCUCCCUUAAGUUCUGCAUGAUAGGCUUCAAAUUCCUCAAGCGAGUUCUUGCAACCAAGCAACUGCUGAUUAACCUCCUCCUUAAACUUCUCAUGAAGAACCCUUAACUGUUCUUGUUGCUCUGAAACAGGAAGACAUAGGACCAGGUAUAUCAUUUGAGUAACUAACGUUUAUUCAAGAGAAACAACAGAAGACAUGCAAGAAAACAAGGUAAAGUAUAAGGAUUCCCCAAAGGAAUCUUGCGACAAAUGUGCCUUGCUAACCAAACAGGCGACUAGCCUGGUCAAACAUACCUAACUUCUGGUGUGGCAUGGUUAGCAUACCAACCAAACAGGCUCUAAGCCUAAAUAUAUGCAUACACAGUAAAAAAUCCAAAGGGUAGAAGAUA